rnacentral:rRNA from 1 species
UACGGGGGGAGCAAACGUUGUUCGGAAUUACUGGGCGUAAAGCGUGCGCAGGCGGUUGUGUAAGACAGAUGUGAAAUCCCCGGGCUCAACCUGGGAACUGCAUUUGUGACUGCACGGCUGGAGUGCGGCAGAGGGGGAUGGAAUUCCGCGUGUAGCAGUGAAAUGCGUAGAUAUGCGGAGGAACACCGAUGGCGAAGGCAAUCCCCUGGGCCUGCACUGACGCUCAUGCACGAAAGCGUGGGGAGCAAACAGG